rnacentral:misc_RNA from 1 species
UUAUUUUCUUUUAGCACCAAGGACUGAUUAGAAUCGGUUCUGGUUAGUUAGCACUCAUUUCAGGAAAUAUUCGAAGGUUGAGAUCUUAAGGCUCGUGUUCAGAAACAUGCAUCACAGACAUUGAGAAUGAUUGCGUUUACUUUAUUGAAUAGAAUUUGCUGCCCCAGACUCCCAGAUUUUUAGUUUCAUGGAAGUCCAUGUCAAGCUGAACAUCAGUAGGUUUUAAAAUUCAACUCAAUUAAAACUUUAUUUCAAAAAUUUGGGGUCG